ACAGAAAUAAAACCAGAUUAAAGGACAGUUCAGGUAAAAGGCACAAUGAGCUCAUUCUUCUGGAACAACUGCCAAAAGCCAGGGUGAGCCCUGAGGAGCUGGGCUCCGCCCAAGGGCAAACGCUGCCCUUUUCGGAGCGGUGUCUGGUCAGGCCUACCCAGAAGGCAAUACCGGGCAAAGUCCAAGAAGUGAAAAGUCGAUGGCAGACAGAAAGAUAGAGCCCACUGCUGAGGCCUCCCAUCUCCCAGGACAGCAGCGCUGUGACCUACGGCCCUCCUAGGCGUGCGGAGGCACUUGACUGAUACAGGACUACGCACAGAAACUCUUCAGGAGCAACAACGCCAGCGGUGCUCAUCGUCUCUCACCAAAGGCAGAGAUACCCAAGAGGACUAAGAAGAACCAGAAAGGAAUGUUCCCGAGUUACACGCAAAGCUAACUCAAGACAUAAAGAAGCACUUCUUCACUGUCAGGGGCUAGGACUGAAACUCUGGCUAAAGGUCCGUGCUGGAAAGAGCUGGAAAAGAGAACAGACCUUCUGUCCUCGGAGGGUUAGCUAUUUGCUGGGUGGUCUCUCAAUCCUGUCCAGCUCCAGAACUCUGUACAAAUACGAAUUACAACACGGGCUAGGGUGCUGGGGCUGACUUGGGAUUCAGUCCUCCCGAGGGGGCCCUGAGAAGGCCCAGAAGGGAGCCAGCCAGUCCCGAGCCCCCCUUUGUCGUCUGUCCUGAACUCGCUUCGUGUACACCAUUUAGCUUCCGCAGCAGCGGCAGGGGCAGAGGCCCCCCGAAGUCCUGUGUGUGGGCGGGAGAAGGCCGAGCCUGAAAAGCUGCCUUUGUGCCCUCAGCCGGCUCAGGGAGCCAGGGGAGCCAUUAGCCCGUUGCUAGGUGACGGCCCGAAUGAAUCCGCACUCAACGCUGUCACAUGCGUCAUCCCUUUACACGAAUGAAUGCGGGAAGAGCUGCUGGAGAGGGCUGUGGGCUGAAGGACCUGUUGACAGAGAAAAUGGUUCUGUCACAGGGAGCUAAAUGUGCAGCCUCACGUGGCAGAUCCGCAUCUUCUGAUCAGAAAACCGGCUCGAUCCAGAUGGGGCUCUCAGGGUCUAACUUUGUUCUGGGAGGUUCUGGAGAAUCUCCCGGGGGUCGUCUAGUCCAGCCCCGGGGAGGCCCGGGGUGGGGCCGGGGGGGGGGGGAGGGGGUCUCAGCCUGAGCCCAACAGGCUUGCUAGGAGUUGAACUGCAGCCCUAGGAAGGUGGGGAGUCAGACUACCAUUUCCCGGACGCAGGCAAGCAGCCUCGCAAAAAAGGAACAGGUUGAAAACAGAAGGGGAAUCCUUACUCCUGGCUAAGUCCCGGGCCCCAUCUGCCGAACUUACGCUCUGUCGCAACCCACCCCCAACACUCCAGAAACGAGGAGUCUUUAAAAUGAGUGUUCUAGAGAGCACCUGUGCACUGACAUCUCGUUUGGCAAAAUGAGGCAUCUUGUAAAACACAACGCUGACUAGAACAAUCAUAAAAAAGGAGUGGAGGGAGAAGGAACGGGAAUAGAAAGAAAAAAAAAAA